rnacentral:rRNA from 1 species
AGAGUUUGAUCCUGGCUCAGGAUGAACGCUGGCGGCGUGCUUAACACAUGCAAGUCGAACGGAGAUUAUACGCAGAGGCGAUUUCGGUCAAAUCAUGUAAAAUCUUAGUGGCGGACGGGUGAGUAACGCGUGGGUAACCUGCCUUACACUGGGGGAUAACACUUAGAAAUAGGUGCUAAUACCGCAUAAGCGCACGAAGCCGCAUGGAUUUGUGUGAAAAACUCCGGUGGUGCAAGAUGGACCCGCGUCUGAUUAGCUUGUUGGCGGGGUAACGGCCCACCAAGGCGACGAUCAGUAGCCGGCCUGAGAGGGUGGACGGCCACAUUGGGACUGAGACACGGCCCAAACUCCUACGGGAGGCAGCAGUGGGGGAUAUUGGACAAUGGGGGGAACCCUGAUCCAGCGACGCCGCGUGAGUGAAGAAGUAUUUCGGUAUGUAAAGCUCUGUCAGCAGGGAAGAAAGAAAUGACGGUACCUGACCAAGAAGCCCCGGCUAACUACGUGCCAGCAGCCGCGGUAAUACGUAGGGGGCAAGCGUUACUCGGAAUCACUGGGCGUAAAGAGUGCGCAGGCGGGGUGGUAAGUCAGAUGUGAAAUCCUGUAGCUUAACUACAGAACUGCAUUUGAAACUAUCACUCUAGAGUAUGGGAGAGGUAGGUGGAAUUCUUGGUGUAGGGGUAAAAUCCGUAGAGAUCAAGAGGAAUACUCAUUGCGAAGGCGACCUACUGGAACAUUACUGACGCUCAUGCACGAAAGCAUGGGUAGCAAACAGGAUUAGAUACCCUGGUAGUCCAUGCCGUAAACGAUGAUUACUAGGUGUGGGUGGACUGACCCCAUCCGUGCCGGAGUUAACACAAUAAGUAAUCCACCUGGGAAGUACGACCGCAAGGUUGAAACUCAAAGGAAUUGACGGGGGCCCGCACAAGCGGUGGAGCAUGUGGUUUAAUUCGAAGCAACGCGAAGAACCUUACCAGGUCUUGACAUCCAGUGCAAACCUAAGAGAUUAGGUGUUCCCUUCGGGGACGCUGAGACAGGUGGUGCAUGGCUGUCGUCAGCUCGUGUCGUGAGAUGUUGGGUUAAGUCCCGCAACGAGCGCAACCCUUGUUAUUAGUUGCCAGCAUCAAGUUGGGCACUCCAAUGAGACUGCCGGUGACAAACCGGAGGAAGGUGGGGAUGACGUCAAGUCAUCAUGCCCCUUAUGACCUGGGCUACACACGUGCUACAAUGGCGUAAACAAAGGGAAGCGAGCCUGUGAAGGUAAGCGAAUCCCAGAAAUAACGUCUCAGUUCGGAUUGUAGUCUGCAACUCGACUACAUGAAGCUGGAAUCGCUAGUAAUCGCGGAUCAGAAUGCCGCGGUGAAUACGUUCCCGGGUCUUGCACUCACCGCCCGUCA